UCUCUAAAAAUAAAUAAAAUCUUUUAAAAAAUUUAAAAAAAGGAUGAAACAGUAAAAUCUCAAAACUUACUUCCCUUUUUGUAUUGUUGCACUAAGUGUUAUAUUCUUUCCCAGAAUCAACACCUUAAGAGUUGGCUGGGCCUAAUUACAAGGGAGGCAUGGCUUGCCCCUUCAGAUGAGGAAUGAGCAGAGUACAAUUAAAAUGAAAAAUCUUGUGAUUCCGGAAGACUCAUGAAAUGUAGUUUCUAGAGUCCCUCAGAGAUGCAGAGAAUGAACCAGACUCUACCCAUUUGGGAUCAGUUUGACUUCAGGGCAUAAGUACUAUAUAAUGGCUGUUAGAAUUGCUUGUGAACAAUGCAGAUGCUAAGUUGCAAAAUGACUUCAAGCCUCCUGGAGGCCUGUAGUAACAGAUAUGAAAAUAUCUACAAUGGAGUUUAAAACACUUCCCUUCAAAACCACCUUUUAUCUCCCUUAAGUGACCAAUGUUAAACAGGGGCCCACUCUUUUGUAUGCCCAAGGUUUCAGGUCAGUUAAGUGGAACCAGAUUCAAACUCAAUUAGUUGUAUUUAAUCGCUAUAUUACACUGCAACAUUUUUAUAUAGAAGGUAAUCCUUUAAAUUGAAUGCACUUGCUUUGAUGUAUAAUUCACUCUGAAGUUCUCACUUUUUCCCCAUUUCAGUAAAAACUGGCAAAAACCAUCUUGGAGUGGCAUCUGCUACAGGGACUUGCUUUCAGUAGGCCAAACCAAGUAUCCUGUUAACACACCUUGGCACAAGGUGCAAAUAUUCUUUCAGGAAAGAUCACAGGAUACAGAUGUAUUAAUGAAUUCCUAAGUAGAAGGUAGACAAUGAAGAUUACAAUUGAAGAUGGUUAAGUUGCAGCUUGUUCUGCAAACUUUUGGGUUCUCAAGAACUAAUGAUGUACAAGCAGUUGUGAUAAAUACAUGGAAUUUGCUUUUUGGAGAUAAUAUAGGCACAAAAUAAAAUGGGUUCAGAAUUAAGUUUGUAUAAGACUGACCCACAUGUACUUUGGACACCACUCUAGCAAGUCAAAAAGGUCCAUCCCGUAAGUAACCAUAUGUGGCAUUGUGUUUGUAAGGGUGGGGAGGUCCAGGGAGACAUUUCCUUAAAGAAGGGUGGUGAGGGAUUUGCACCAGAGGCUGUUAACAACAUGUAUGUCUCUUCCCUCCCAUGGGCUUGGCUCUUUAGCAUCUGGACCAACACUGCAAUUCAGAUCCCUGGCUGUUAAGAUGACAAACAGCUGGAAAAUGAACUUAAGUUGGAUAGGUGAUAGGAUGCAUGAAAAAAUUAUCAACUCUCCCAUUCCUAAAACAUCCCAAAAUAAAGCUCCACUCCUAAUCAUGUUUUCCCAUGGCACUGCUGGCCAAAAGUGAGCAGGAACCACGAACUAUAACUGGCCUGUUAUAUUCAGUGUAGAAAAAGGUUUGAGGACAAGGUUAAUCCACUUCCAAAAACUAAUUGAGCUCAGGUUGAAAACACAUGCAGACCCUUCUCCUUGCUCAAAUUUCAAGGGUGUGCAGGGUGAAUUUGCCAAGAUUGAGAAAUACCUUUGGGGAUCCCUAUGGAAGAGAUCUUGAGAAGACUCAAACAGCUGAAACCUCUUUCCAAAAGCUUCCAGACCAGACCAACCUGUUAAGGAAGCACGGUAAAGAUGUGGUAGAAAUAACAUAAUUUGCCCAAACCACCCACUCUUCAGUCAAAUGCAUUUAUUCUUCAGGUUUAUUAACCAAGGCAUUUAUUGAAUGUAAUGAAAAAUGUGGGGAAAAAAGUGACUCUUUAAAACCCAGCAUUACUAUCAAAAGAACUAUUUUAAAAUUAUCCUAUUGUAUACUCAGCUAAAGACCUGCUUAAUAAGAGCACUAGUUUGAGAACAUCCUAAAGGGCAAGGAAACUAAUAUAACUUAAUAGAUUUUAUGAUCUAAGCUCUAUGUUGAUAGGACAUUUGGAUCCCAGUCCUUGAUUUGCCCCCAACAAGCCUUGACCAAAUCAACUUGAAAUGGUGGGAUUGGAGAUGCCACCUUCCAAUUCAACAAUGAAACGUGUUCCCUUCAAGGAACUUUUUAAAUUUUUAAAGUUUACCACCUUCAAGGAGUUGAAGCAUAGUUCACUGUAUGAAUCUAAAGUGUUAUCUCCAACAUUCAACUUAAGAAACCCAGUUAAGUACUUCAAUUUAUGCUUAAAUUUAAGAGGAUUUCUAAAAUAGAUGUUUGAGGGACUAUUAAGGCAGAAUUCCUAAAAUUAUGCACCAAGCCAUCCUGAAAUAUACCUGGAAUAUCAAUGGCAUAUUUCUAGAUGCCUGGUACUUUGUUUUCAUUUUAAUAAUGUACACCUGGAGAUACACUUGUGAUUAUACCACUGUUAAUACCAAAAAUUUACCUACAGUAUAAACUGAGAAAACCAGAGCUUCCAAUUUCUCCCUUAUACACUCCCCACUCCUUUCACUUUUGCCCCAAGUUGAAAAAUCACUGUAUUACUGGUCACACCAAACUUGUUUGCAAUGGGGAAAGAGACUGAGAACUUAAAACUGCACUGUAAUGGUAACUCAAAUCCAAAUAGAUUCUUAGUCCCUCAAAAUUCUUCUGAUAUUGAAUACUGCCUAGUUUUAAUAACGUGACAGUGUAAGAACUCCUUGUGUUAGGUUUAAACAAUGAAGAAUUUCAUUCCUUGUUGCAAUCUUAUCUUUCUCCUUAAAAUAAUGUAAACCUGUUAAGUCAUUAAGAUCCGACUGCUGUUAGAAACCACCUUCAUUUGCUGCCCAAUAUACCAGUGUCCGCAACUUACUUAAAAUCAGAAUGCCCUUUUAACUGAGUUCUUUCACAAUCUCUCACCAGCCAGUCUUCUUUCAAAUUUGACAAGGACUCCACAAUUAAAUGGAGUUCACAUACAGACACGAUUAGGGUCCCACUUCACUACUUCAGGUUAAACACUUGCACUAGCAAGAAAAGCACAACACUAAACUGGUGAUUACAAGACUUAGACAAAAUUCCCAUAUCUUGGCAUGCUCGAUAUUUACCAAAGUCAAAAGACUUAAUGUCGGUCACCUUAACAAUCUCAAAAUUAAAGCCCUUCCUUGAACAUCUUUCACCAGUUAGGAGUUCCCACAUCAGGUAAUUUCAUAACAGACACCAAGUUGCUACCAUGCAAUGAAACCUUUAUUAACACUUUGAACAGGUUCAGUUAUUAUUGAAACUGGUAAUUCUAAACUUAAACUGGGAAAAAUGGCUAGAAUGCAGAGUAGUGGCCAUCACUGGGCACUAUGAAUGCCAAAACUGAAGAAUUAACAGCCACCCCUUAGACGAAGGACCAGGUGCAGGGUGGACUCUUUCUGGAUGUUGUAGUCAGAAAGAGUGCGGCCAUCUUCCAGCUGCUUGCCUGCAAAGAUGAGCCUCUGCUGGUCAGGAGGGAUGCCUUCUUUAUCCUGGAUCUUGGCCUUCACAUUCUCAAUGGUGUCACUGGGCUCCACCUCCAGGGUGAUGGUCUUGCCAGUCAGGGU